CGCGUAGGCGGACUGUUAAGUCGGGGGUGAAAUCCCGGGGCUCAACCCCGGAACUGCCCCCGAUACUGGCAGCCUGGAGGUCGAGAGAGGUGAGUGGAAUGGCGAGUGUAGAGGUGAAAUUCGUAGAUAUUCGCCGGAACACCAGUGGCGAAGGCGGCUCACUGGCUCGAACCUGACGCUGAGGCGCGAAAGCGUGGGGAGCAAACA
rnacentral:rRNA from 1 species